rnacentral:rRNA from 1 species
CGUAGCGCGGUGGUCCCACCUGACCCCAUGCCGAACUCAGAAGUGAAACGCCGUAGCGCCGAUGGUAGUGUGGGGUUUCCCCAUGCGAGAGUAGGGAACUGCCAGGC